CACACAAAUUUAUUUGUUGUUGUAUAAAUUACAAUAAUAUAAAUAUAAGUUUGGAAUGGAUCUGGAAUGGCUUUGAAAAUGGUAAGGGAAGAAGAAGAAACGAAAAUGCUCUGAAUGCCUCUGAUACUCCACCUCUGAUAAGGUGAAAGAAUAUAAUAGACAAUGGCACACUGUUUUGCAUGUGAAAGAAUAUCACGGACUCACAGUGGUACACGGUUUCAUUAUGAAAGCACUAUUAUUUGUUUUCCAUGGUCUGAAAUUGCAAAAAGUUAUUUGUAUCAUUGGAUCAGAGAGCUAGAGACAGGUUUUGAAUUAUUUAGAUCAUUGGAUGCUUUUUUUUUCUCACACGCCACCACACACACAGAGAGUCAGAGAGUGAGUCACACUCACAUGCCACCACACACGCACACAGAGAUCGAGAUUCGAGACCCCCCACACCACACACGUACACAGAAACUGAGCUCAGUCUCUCGAUCCUUCCUUCUUUCUUCUGAGUUCUGAGUCUUCUCCCUUCCUUCUCUCUUUUGAGUCUUCGCCCUUCCCUUCUCCCUUCUCCAGUUCUCCCACACAUACACACACAAACAUCAUCUCUCGAUCCAUCUCUCGAUCCUUCUCGUCCGCGUCUUCUGCCUCGUCGGCGUCGUCUCCAUUUCCCGUGCCGUGACCUCUACCUCAAAUCGGUCAUCCCCAUCGGCGCCCUCUACUUCCUUUCCCUCUGCUCCUCCCUCGCCUUCCUCCUCGUCGAGCCCAGACCUCCUAGACGGAAAAGAAGAAGGUUCUACCCUCCACCAAACCGCAAAAUUCAAACCCAUAGCUUAAUAUCUUAUCAGCCGGUGACCCUUUACACACAAACCCAAAAAAUCUCUUUUUCUCUCUCUCUCUCUCUCUUUAGUUUUUCCAGAAACCUCUAGCAAGGCUAGAUUCAGAUGCAGAUGCAAGUCGCGAUGCAGGUGCAGCUGCGAGUUUGAUGCAGGUGCAGCUCUCUCUCUCUCUAGUUUGACCAGAAACCUCUAGCAAGGCCAAAUUCAGAUGCAGACGCAAGUUGCGAUGCAGGUUCGCCAUCGCUGUCGGUGGUCAGGUCAACUCCCGGUCCCUCACCUUCUUACCUCUUCGAUUAAUUCAUGCAUAUGAAUUGUGGUUGUGUUUUCAAUCGCUUUGUAGCUUAGAUCUUGAUCUUAAUCGUGUUUUUGCAAGGUUUUUGGGACGAAAUUGGCUCGGGAAUCGGCACACCCAUUUCCGGCGUUCUUCUCUGAUUCGCAUGUAUCCAAAAUAUCACGAUAAUUUUGGAAAUAUUGCGAUAUUAUCGAUAUUAUCGAUAAUAUCGUGAUAUUUUUCCGAAAACCCGUCGGAUACCUAUUAAAAUAUCGGACCCGUGAAAAACCGAUAAUAUCGGCGAAAUAUUGCCGAUAUUAUCGGCAUUUUGUUCCAUGAGAGAGAGAGAGAGAGAGAGAGAGAGAUAUUCAAAUGUAAUCAAAGAACGUGAGAUUUGAAGAUAAUUUAGUAAACUAAACAUAAAAAUUAAGUAGGAAUUGAAUCUCCGAAGCAAAAUUUGAAUCUAAAAAUAGAGGAACAAAAACCCUUUUAAGCUAAAAUCUGUGUGAGGUUUUUCUGCUAAACUGGUGAUUGAAAAUAUAAAAGCCAAUAAUGUGAUAAAUCCCAAUUAAUAUAAAACCCAAUAAUGUAAUAAAUCCAAAAGAAAAACAUUCACAUCAUGCACUGGAAUGGAGUCUAAUUGGAUUCUU
rnacentral:lncRNA from 1 species